GACGAACGCUGGCGGCGUGCUUAACACAUGCAAGUCGAACGGAAAGGCCCUGCUUUUGUGGGGUGCUCGAGUGGCGAACGGGUGAGUAACACGUGAGUAACCUGCCCUUGACUUUGGGAUAACUUCAGGAAACUGGGGCUAAUACCGGAUAGGAGCUCCUGCUGCAUGGUGGGGGUUGGAAAGUUUCGGCGGUUGGGGAUGGACUCGCGGCUUAUCAGCUUGUUGGUGGGGUAGUGGCUUACCAAGGCUUUGACGGGUAGCCGGCCUGAGAGGGUGACCGGCAAAAUGGGGAUUAGGAUACGGCCCAGACGCCUACGGAGGCAGCAGUGGGGAAUAUUGCACAAUGGGCGGAAGCCUGAUGCAGCAACGCCGCGUGCGGGAUGACGGCCUUCGGGUUGUAAACCGCUUUCGCCUGUGACGAAGCGUGAGUGACGGUAAUGGGUAAAGAAGCACCGGCUAACUACGUG
rnacentral:rRNA from 1 species